GACGAACGCUGGCGGCGUGCCUAAUACAUGCAAGUAGAACGCACAGUUUAUACCGUAGCUUGCUACACCAUAGACUGUGAGUUGCGAACGGGUGAGUAACGCGUAGGUAACCUGCCUGGUAGCGGGGGAUAACUAUUGGAAACGAUAGCUAAUACCGCAUAAUAUUAAUUAUUGCAUGAUAAUUAAUUGAAAGGUGCAAUUGCACCACUACCAGAUGGACCUGCGUUGUAUUAGCUAGUAGGUGAGGUAACGGCUCACCUAGGCGACGAUACAUAGCCGACCUGAGAGGGUGAUCGGCCACACUGGGACUGAGACACGGCCCAGACUCCUACGGGAGGCAGCAGUAGGGAAUCUUCGGCAAUGGACGAAAGUCUAACCGAGCAACGCCGCGUGAGUGAAGAAGGUUUUCGGAUCGUAAAGCUCUGUUGUAAGAGAAGAACGGGUGUGAGAGUGGAAAGUUCACACUGUGACGGUAUCUGACCAGAAAGGGACGGCUAACUACGUG
rnacentral:rRNA from 1 species